rnacentral:lncRNA from 1 species
GGGAAGGAGGUAUCUUCAUGUUGUUGCUUCCAUAUUUCCAUGAUAGGACUUCUCUUUUAGACAUUUGAAUAGAAAUUCAGUAGCCAGAUUGGCUUCAACCAUUCACCAUCUGUGUCCUUAGGAAGAAGUGGAUAAUUGGACUGUGGUGUUAAUUUAGUAUUUCCUGUCUUGAACUAUAUCCCCUAUGGGGUACUCUACCCUGGCUGGCAUCAGAUCUGGCACCCUGAGGGGGGUUAGGAACAAACUUCCUGUUCUUGUGAAGUCAGGUCACUGACACUUGCUACUAUGGGUGAGAAGAAGAGUCAUUUCAUCAAAGUCAUGCUAAGAAAAUAUUUACACUUUGAUUUAACUUCAGUCUUCCGUAGUGAGUUAAUCCUUAUGUUUUAUUAUUUAUUUAUUUUUAACUUCCUUGAAUUUACUAGAAUUUAUUGGUGGAUCAUCAUAAUAUACAAUAUUCGAAACUUAAAGACUUAAAAAUGUUAAUCUGAGACUCUGCUUUGGGAAAGAAAAUUAAAUUCAAAUCUACAUGGAUAAACUUUCUAUGGACUCUGCACAGUACAGUGUUUAUCCCAGCCUGAGGUUUUAUCACCUAACAUACAUUUUUGGGGUCUUUAUGUGGGAAUAAUGUAAGUCAUUUUGACCAUUAGCUUGAGGAAAACUUAAUUUCUAUAGUAAAUAUGCCACAAAAUCAGUAUAAUACAAUAUCAGGACAAAUACUUUGGAACUGUGCAUAUGAAUCUUCCUAUUUGAAGAUUCUAUGAAUUGAUUGAAUAUAUUGACUUGGUAAAUUCUUUUGGAUGAGAAAUUUUAGAGUGUUCUGUCCAAAUAAUCUAUUAUCUUCUGCUCGGAUUUGUUUUAUUAUGUUCCCCCCGUUCUUCCUUAAUUUAAACAUUAGUGUUGUUUAUUUUCUUGUAACUAAAGAUUAACUGGAGACAAUAGAUAUUUCAGAUUGGUAUUUUUUCUUUGCCUCUUUCUCCUCUAUACAUCCUCGGCAUCUCCUAGUGCUGUGCUGGGCUCAAAGCCAAUAGAUGUGUAGGGCACACAACCUAGUGGGACACCAGAUGGGGCAUCAAUGAGAGUGCUUGCAUCACCUUCUCCCAACCCCAGGCAGCGCAGCUUGCAGCUCCUGGAGAGACUCCUUCCCUCCACUUGAGGAGAGGGAAGAGAAAAAAAGACUUGGUUUUGCAACUUGGAUACCAGCUCAGACACACUGGGAUAGGGCACCAGGCAGAGUUGUGAGACCCCCAUUCCAGGGCCUAGUUCCCAGAUGACAGUUCUAGACAUAUCCUGGGCCAGAAGGGAACCCACUGCCUUGAAGGGAAGGACCCACACCUGGCAGGAUUCAUCACCUGCUGACUAAAGAGCCCUUUGGCAAUAAAUAAUCUGCUGUGGUAACCAGGUAGUACAUACUAUGGGCCUUGGUUGAGACUCUGAAACAUGCUGGCUUCAGGUGUGAUCCAGUAGAUUCCCAGCUGUGGCUGCUAUGAGGAGUGACUGCUUCUGCUUGAGAAAAACAGAGGGAAGAGUACCUUGCAGCUUAUCAGCAGCUCAGCCACAGUGGGGUAAAGCACAAAGUGGGCUCCUGGGGACCCUGAUUCCAGGGCGUGGCUCUUGGAUAGCAUUUCUGGACCUGUCCUGGGUCAGAGAGGAGCCUAGAUUACUGCAGGCCGUAAGUGAGACCCAGUACUGUGCUGGCUGUAGAUCUGACCCAGUAUAGUCCUAGUGGUGGUUGCCGUAGGGGUGCUUGUGUCAUCCCUCCCCCAGCUCCAGGCAGCUCAAAACAGACUGCAAGGAUGACAGUAAAUACUUUACUCCUUAAUGCCCAGACACUGACGACCAUUCACAGGCAUCAAGACCAUCCAGGAAAACAUCACCUCCCAAAAUGAACUAAUAAGUCCCAGGGACCAAUCCUGGAGAGACAGAGAUGUGAUAUUUCAGAGAAUUCAAAAAUAGCUCUUUUGAGGAAACUCAGAGAAAUUCAAGAUAACACAGAGAAGGAAUUCAGAAUCUUAUCAGAUAAGUUUAACAAAGUAAUUGAAGUAAUUUAAAAGAAUCAAGCAGAAAUUCUGGAGUUGAAAAAUGCAAUUGACACGCUAAAGAAUGCAUCAGAGUCUAUUAAUAGCAGAAUUGAUCAAUCAGAAGAAAGAAUUAGUGAGAUUGAUGACAGGCUAUUUGAAAAUACACUGUCAGAGGAGA